ensembl:lncRNA
GAGCGGUAGUGUAAUGUAAUGGAGUGGUAGUGUAAUGUAGUGUAGUGGAGCGGUAGUGUAAUGUAGUGGAGUGGUAGUGUAAUGUAGUGGAGUGGUAGUGUAAUGUAGUGGUAGUGGAGUGGUAGUGUAAUGUAGUGGAGUGGAGUGGUAGUGUAAUGUAGUGGUAGUGGAGUGGUAGUGUAAUGUAGUGGAGCGGUAGUGUAAUGUAGUGGAGUGGAGUGGUAGUGUAAUGUAGUGGUAGUGGUAGUGGAGUGGUAGUGUAAUGUAGUGGAGUGGUAGUGGAGUGGUAGUGUAAUGUAGUGGAGUGGUAGUGUAGUGGUAGUGUAAUGUAGUGUAGUGGAGAAAGUUGUGGGUCUGUCUCUUUAAGGUUUCAGCGCUGGAAAGGGAGG